UGGGGAAUUUUGGACAAUGGGCGAAAGCCUGAUCCAGCAAUGCCGCGUGUGUGAAGAAGGCCUUCGGGUUGUAAAGCACUUUUGUCCGGAAAGAAAUCCUUGGCUCUAAUACAGUCGGGGGAUGACGGUACCGGAAGAAUAAGCACCGGCUAACUACGUGCCAGCAGCCGCGGUAAUACGUAGGGUGCAAGCGUUAAUCGGAAUUACUGGGCGUAAAGCGUGCGCAGGCGGUUUGCUAAGACCGAUGUGAAAUCCCCGGGCUCAACCUGGGAACUGCAUUGGUGACUGGCAGGCUAGAGUAUGGCAGAGGGGGGUAGAAUUCCACGUGUAGCAGUGAAAUGCGUAGAGAUGUGGAGGAAUACCGAUGGCGAAGGCAGCCCCCUGGGCCAAUACUGACGCUCAUGCACGAAAAGCGUGGGGGAGCAAAACAGGAUUAGAUACCCUGGUAGUCCACGCCCUAAACGAUGUCAACUAGUUGUUGGGGAUUCAUUUCCUUAGUAACGUAGCUAACGCGUGAAGUUGACCGCCUGGGGAGUACGGUCGCAAGAUUAAAAACUCAAAGGAAUUGACGGGGUCAUAGCUGUUUCCU
rnacentral:rRNA from 1 species